rnacentral:rRNA from 1 species
GAUGAACGCUGGCGGCGUGCCUAAUACAUGCAAGUCGAGCGAACAGAUAAGGAGCUUGCUCCUUUGACGUUAGCGGCGGACGGGUGAGUAACACGUGGGUAACCUACCUAUAAGACUGGGAUAACUUCGGGAAACCGGAGCUAAUACCGGAUAACAUUUGGAACCGCAUGGUUCUAAAGUGAAAGAUGGUUUUGCUAUCACUUAUAGAUGGACCCGCGCCGUAUUAGCUAGUUGGUAAGGUAACGGCUUACCAAGGCAACGAUACGUAGCCGACCUGAGAGGGUGAUCGGCCACACUGGAACUGAGACACGGUCCAGACUCCUACGGGAGGCAGCAGUAGGGAAUCUUCCGCAACGGGCGAAAGCCUGACGGAGCAACGCCGUGUGAGUGAUGAAGGGUUUCGGCUCGUAAAACUCUGUUAUUAGGGAAGAACAAACGUGUAAGUAACUGUGCACGUCUUGACGGUACCUAAUCAGAAAGCCACGGCUAACUACGUG